rnacentral:rRNA from 1 species
GUCUUCUUGUAAUAUUUAGGAAGUCUGACCUGCCCAGUGAAAAUUAAAUUUAACGGCCGCGGUAUUCUGACCGUGCAAAGGUAGCAUAAUCAUUAGUCUUUUAAUAGAGGGCUGGAAUGAAGGGUUUGACGAGGUGUUGACUGUCUCAUUUAAUUUGAAUUUAGAAUUUAACUUUUUAGUCAAAAGGCUGAAAUAGUAUUGGAAGACGAGAAGACCCUAUAGAGCUUUAUAAUGUUUUUAUUAAUAAAUUUUGGUAAAUGAUUAUUUAUUAUUAUAAUCUAUUAUUUUGUUGGGGUGACAAAAAUAUAUAAUGAACUUUUUUAUUUAUUUAACAUUGAUUUAUGAUUAUUAGAUCCAAUUUUAUUGAUUAUUAGAACAAGUUACCUUAGGGAUAACAGCGUAAUCUUCUUUCAGAGUUCAUAUUUACAAGAAGGCUUGCGACCUCGAUGUUGGAUUAAGAUGAUAAUUAGGUGUAGCUGCUUAAUGUAUAGGUCUGUUCGACCUUUAAAUUCUU